UAGCUAGUUGGUGGGGUAAAGGCCUACCAAGGCGACGAUCGGUAGCUGGUCUGAGAGGAUGGCCAGCCACACUGGAACUGAGACACGGUCCAGACUCCUACGGGAGGCAGCAGUGGGGAAUAUUGGACAAUGGGGGGAACCCUGAUCCAGCAAUGCCGCGUGUGAAGAAGGCCUGAGGGUUGUAAAGCACUUUCAGUGGGGAGGAGGGUUGUCUGGUUAAGAGCUGGAUGACUGGACGUUACCUACAGAAGAAGCACCGGCUAACUCCGUGCCAGCAGCCGCGGUAAUACGGAGGGUGCGAGCGUUAAUCGGAAUUACUGGGCGUAAAGGGUGCGUAGGUGGUUGAUUAAGUUAUGUGUAAAAUCCCUGGGCUUAACCUGGGCAGGUCAUAUAAUACUGAUUGACUCGAGUAUGGGAGAGGGUAGUGGAAUUUCCGGUGUAGCGGUGAAAUGCGUAGAGAUCGGAAGGAACACCAGUGGCGAAGGCGGCUACCUGGCCUAAUACUGACACUGAGGCACGAAAGCGUGGGGAGCAAACAGGAUUAGAUACCCUGGUAGUCCACGCUGUAAACAAUGUCAACUAGCUGUUGGUUAUAUAGAAAUAAUUAGUGGCGC
rnacentral:rRNA from 1 species